AGAUUAAGUUAUUAAGGGCGCACGGUGGAUGCCUUGGCACUAGAAGCCGAUGAAGGACGUUACUAACGACGAUAUGCUUUGGGGAGCUGUAAGUAAGCUUUGAUCCAGAGAUUUCCGAAUGGGGAAACCCAGCAUGAGUUAUGUCAUGUUAUCGAUAUGUGAAUACAUAGCAUAUCAGAAGGCACACCCGGAGAACUGAAACAUCUUAGUACCCGGAGGAAGAGAAAGAAAAUUCGAUUCCCUUAGUAGCGGCGAGCGAAACGGGAAGAGCCCAAACCAACAAGCUUGCUUGUUGGGGUUGUAGGACACUCUAUACGGAGUUACAAAGGACGACAUUAGACGAAUCAUCUGGAAAGAUGAAUCAAAGAAGGUAAUAAUCCUGUAGUCGAAAAUGUUGUCUCUCUUGAGUGGAUCCUGAGUACGACGGAGCACGUGAAAUUCCGUCGGAAUCUGGGAGGACCAUCUCCUAAGGCUAAAUACUCUCUAGUGACCGAUAGUGAACCAGUACCGUGAGGGAAAGGUGAAAAGCACCCCGGAAGGGGAGUGAAAUAGAACCUGAAACCGUGUGCUUACAAGUAGUCAGAGCCCGUUAAUGGGUGAUGGCGUGCCUUUUGUAGAAUGAACCGGCGAGUUACGAUUUGAUGCAAGGUUAAGCAGUAAAUGUGGAGCCGUAGCGAAAGCGAGUCUGAAUAGGGCGUUUAGUAUUUGGUCGUAGACCCGAAACCAGGUGAUCUACCCUUGGUCAGGUUGAAGUUCAGGUAACACUGAAUGGAGGACCGAACCGACUUACGUUGAAAAGUGAGCGGAUGAACUGAGGGUAGCGGAGAAAUUCCAAUCGAACCUGGAGAUAGCUGGUUCUCUCCGAAAUAGCUUUAGGGCUAGCCUCAAGUGAUGAUUAUUGGAGGUAGAGCACUGUUUGGACGAGGGGCCCCUCUCGGGUUACCGAAUUCAGACAAACUCCGAAUGCCAAUUAAUUUAACUUGGGAGUCAGAACAUGGGUGAUAAGGUCCAUGUUCGAAAGGGAAACAGCCCAGACCACCAGCUAAGGUCCCAAAAUAUAUGUUAAGUGGAAAAGGAUGUGGCGUUGCCCAGACAACUAGGAUGUUGGCUUAGAAGCAGCCAUCAUUUAAAGAGUGCGUAAUAGCUCACUAGUCGAGUGACACUGCGCCGAAAAUGUACCGGGGCUAAACAUAUUACCGAAGCUGUGGAUUGUCCUUUGGACAAUGGUAGGAGAGCGUUCUAAGGGCGUUGAAGCAUGAUCGUAAGGACAUGUGGAGCGCUUAGAAGUGAGAAUGCCGGUGUGAGUAGCGAAAGACGGGUGAGAAUCCCGUCCACCGAUUGACUAAGGUUUCCAGAGGAAGGCUCGUCCGCUCUGGGUUAGUCGGGUCCUAAGCUGAGGCCGACAGGCGUAGGCGAUGGAUAACAGGUUGAUAUUCCUGUACCACCUAUAAUCGUUUUAAUCGAUGGGGGGACGCAGUAGGAUAGGCGAAGCGUGCGAUUGGAUUGCACGUCUAAGCAGUAAGGCUGAGUAUUAGGCAAAUCCGGUACUCGUUAAGGCUGAGCUGUGAUGGGGAGAAGACAUUGUGUCUUCGAGUCGUUGAUUUCACACUGCCGAGAAAAGCCUCUAGAUAGAAAAUAGGUGCCCGUACCGCAAACCGACACAGGUAGUCAAGAUGAGAAUUCUAAGGUGAGCGAGCGAACUCUCGUUAAGGAACUCGGCAAAAUGACCCCGUAACUUCGGGAGAAGGGGUGCUCUUUAGGGUUAACGCCCAGAAGAGCCGCAGUGAAUAGGCCCAAGCGACUGUUUAUCAAAAACACAGGUCUCUGCUAAACCGUAAGGUGAUGUAUAGGGGCUGACGCCUGCCCGGUGCUGGAAGGUUAAGAGGAGUGGUUAGCUUCUGCGAAGCUACGAAUCGAAGCCCCAGUAAACGGCGGCCGUAACUAUAACGGUCCUAAGGUAGCGAAAUUCCUUGUCGGGUAAGUUCCGACCCGCACGAAAGGCGUAACGAUUUGGGCACUGUCUCAACGAGAGACUCGGUGAAAUCAUAGUACCUGUGAAGAUGCAGGUUACCCGCGACAGGACGGAAAGACCCCGUGGAGCUUUACUGUAGCCUGAUAUUGAAAUUCGGCACAGCUUGUACAGGAUAGGUAGGAGCCUUUGAAACGUGAGCGCUAGCUUACGUGGAGGCGCUGGUGGGAUACUACCCUAGCUGUGUUGGCUUUCUAACCCGCACCACUUAUCGUGGUGGGAGACAGUGUCAGGCGGGCAGUUUGACUGGGGCGGUCGCCUCCUAAAAGGUAACGGAGGCGCUCAAAGGUUCCCUCAGAAUGGUUGGAAAUCAUUCAUAGAGUGUAAAGGCAUAAGGGAGCUUGACUGCGAGACCUACAAGUCGAGCAGGGUCGAAAGACGGACUUAGUGAUCCGGUGGUUCCGCAUGGAAGGGCCAUCGCUCAACGGAUAAAAGCUACCCCGGGGAUAACAGGCUUAUCUCCCCCAAGAGUUCACAUCGACGGGGAGGUUUGGCACCUCGAUGUCGGCUCAUCGCAUCCUGGGGCUGUAGUCGGUCCCAAGGGUUGGGCUGUUCGCCCAUUAAAGCGGUACGCGAGCUGGGUUCAGAACGUCGUGAGACAGUUCGGUCCCUAUCCGUCGUGGGCGUAGGAAAUUUGAGAGGAGCUGUCCUUAGUACGAGAGGACCGGGAUGGACAUACCUCUGGUGUACCAGUUGUCGUGCCAACGGCAUAGCUGGGUAGCUAUGUGUGGACGGGAUAAGUGCUGAAAGCAUCUAAGCAUGAAGCCCCCCUCAAGAUGAGAUUUCCCAACUUCGGUUAUAAGAUCCCUCAAAGAUGAUGAGGUUAAUAGGUUCGAGGUGGAAGCAUGGUGACAUGUGGAGCUGACGAAUACUAAUCGAUCGAAGACUUAAUCAAAUU
rnacentral:rRNA from 1 species